UCUGGGAUAUGGGUAAAAAGUACCUCGAUCUCGUUGAACGUUAUCCGUGCCCCAUGUCCUACGCCCGUGGGCACAUCUCUUCAAAAUUUUCAAUCACUGUUUGACGCUGGAAGAGUGCUUCCACCUUCGCCAAGCCUUAGUAGAUGGAACGAAUCUUGAGGAUUUUAAAGCAGUAGUAGUUGAACUGGAAAAACAUUUUACACCAUAUCAGCAAGGACUAAAGCCAUGGACACCUCCGGCCGAUCAUCCGUCUUCCGUUUUACCUUUCCCGCCCUGGCAUUGUCAACCCUACGUUAGGCCAUCGCCAGAGAGAACAUAAAAAGAAAAAUUCCAGCUAAUUAUGGCAGAGGAGGCUAAACGGAAACGCGAGGAAGAAGAUAACGGCCAGGAGAAACCUGAAGGUGUUCUUUCAAAAAACAAGAUGAAGAAGCUUGCGAGACUAGCGAGAAAUCCUAAGAAACAGGCACGCCUCGCAAGACAGGAUCUUGUUAUGUGCAAUCAGUGCUCGAAUCUUCCUGUAAUCAUUAAAGCUUACAGCUACGUAGAAGAC